CCUGGCGGCAAUAGCAAGCGGGAACCACCCGAUCCCAUAUCGAACUCGGAAGUGAAAACGCUGUGCGCCGAUGGUAGUGUGCCCUUCGGGCAUGCAAGAGUAGGUCACUGCCAGGC
rfam:Steroidobacter denitrificans strain DSM 18526, complete genome.